rnacentral:rRNA from 1 species
UGGGGAAUCUUGCACAAUGGGGGCAACCCUGAUGCAGCGACGCCGCGUGAGCGAUGAAGCCCUUCGGGGCGUAAAGCUCUUUCGACCGGAACGAUAAUGACGGUACCGGGAGAAGAAGCUGCGGCUAACUACGUGCCAGCAGCCGCGGUAAUACGUAGGCAGCAAGCGUUGUUCGGAGUUACUGGGCGUAAAGAGUGCGUAGGCGGUUUUCUAAGUUCGGUGUGAAAUCUCCCGGCUUAACUGGGAGGGUGCGCCGAAGACUGGGAAGCUGGAGUGUGGGAAAGGCAGGCGGAAUUCCUGGUGUAGCGGUGAAAUGCGUAGAUAUCGAGAGGAACACCAGUGGCGAAGGCGAGUCCCUGGACGACUCCUGACACUGAGGCACGAAAGCUAGGGGAGCAAACA